GAUGAACGCUGGCGGCGUGCCUAAUACAUGCAAGUCGAGCGAACAGACGAGGAGCUUGCUCCUCUGACGUUAGCGGCGGACGGGUGAGUAACACGUGGAUAACCUACCUAUAAGACUGGGAUAACUUCGGGAAACCGGAGCUAAUACCGGAUAAUAUAUUGAACCGCAUGGUUCAAUAGUGAAGGACGGUUUUGCUGUCACUUAUAGAUGGAUCCGCGCCGCAUUAGCUAGUUGGUAAGGUAACGGCUUACCAAGGCAACGAUGCGUAGCCGACCUGAGAGGGUGAUCAGCCACACUGGAACUGAGACACGGUCCAGACUCCUACGGGAGGAAGCAGUAGGGAAUCUUCCGCAAUGGGCGAAAGCCUGACGGAGCAACGCCGCGUGAGUGAUGAAGGUCUUCGGAUCGUAAAACUCUGUUAUUAGGGAAGAACAAAUGUGUAAGUAACUAUGCACGUCUUGACGGUACCUAAUCAGAAAGCCACGGCUAACUACGUGCCAGCAGCCGCUGUAA
rnacentral:rRNA from 1 species